CGUAUGGUGUUCAACUUCGGGUUGAAUAGCGAUACGGCCUGACGAAGAGGU
rfam:Paraglaciecola arctica BSs20135 DNA, contig: CTG065.